rnacentral:rRNA from 1 species
UACAGAGGUGGCAAGCGUUGUUCGGAAUUACUGGGCGUAAAGGGCGCGUAGGCGGUCAGGUCAGUCCCGUGUGAAAUCCCUCGGCUCAACUGAGGAACUGCACGGGAAACUGCCUGGCUUGAGUUCGGGAGAGGGAAGCGGAAUUCCGGGUGUAGCGGUGAAAUGCGUAGAUAUGUGGAGGAACACCGAUGGCGAAGGCAGCCUUCUGGGCCAACACUGACGCUCAUGCACGAAAGCGUGGGGAGCAAACAGG